rnacentral:misc_RNA from 1 species
GAUGAAGAACGCAGCGAAAUGCGAUAAGUAAUGUGAAUUGCAGAACUCAGUGAAUCAUCGAAUCUUUGAACGCACAUUGCGCCCGCCAGUAUUCUGGCGGGCAUGCCUGUUCGAGCGUCAUUACAACCCUCAGGCCCCCGGGCCUGGCGUUGGGGAUCGGCGGAAGCCCCCUGCGGGCACAACGCCGUCCCCCAAAUACAGUGGCGGUCCCGCCGCAGCUUCCAUUGCGUAGUAGCUAACACCUCGCAACUGGAGAGCGGCGCGGCCACGCCGUAAAACACCCAACUUCUGAAUGUUGACCUCGAAUCAGGUAGGAAUACCCGCUGAACUUAAGCAUAUCAAUAAGCGGAGGA